CUUUCUCGCCGAUCGCGACGAAUACAUUCGGCCUUCCGCAUUGGUCGCGGCGCAAAUAUUAGACUGAGACCGACGCGUACGGGCCGUCGUAGCAGCCGCCGCGCCUUCCGUGCGCGGGUCCUAGGCGUGCGGCGGCUUCACGCCCUUCGAUUUCGGUGACUCUGGAUAACUGUCAGUUCGAUCGCACGGGCUAGUAUCGCACUAGCCUUCGCGCGACGGGUCCCCCGCGAGUCCGCCCUAUCAACUGUCGACGGCCCGGUCAGUGCCGACCGUGGUGGCAACGGGUAACGGGGAAUCAGGGUUCGAUUCCGGAGAGGGAGCAUGCGAAACGGCUACCACAUCC